UGGGGAAUAUUGCACAAUGGGCGCAAGCCUGAUGCAGCCAUGCCGCGUGUAUGAAGAAGGCCUUCGGGUUGUAAAGCACUUUCAGCGGGGAGGAAGGCGUUAAGGUUAAUAACCUUGGCGAUUGACGUUACCCGCAGAAGAAGCACCGGCUAACUCCGUGCCAGCAGCCGCGGUAAUACGGAGGGUGCAAGCGUUAAUCGGAAUUACUGGGCGUAAAGCGCACGCAGGCGGUAUGUCAAGUCGGAUGUGAAAUCCCCGGGCUCAACCUGGGAACUGCAUUCGAAACUGGCAGGCUAGAGUCUUGUAGAGGGGGGUAGAAUUCCAGGUGUAGCGGUGAAAUGCGUAGAGAUCUGGAGGAAUACCGGUGGCGAAGGCGGCCCCCUGGACAAAGACUGACGCUCAGGUGCGAAAGCGUGGGGAGCAAACAGG
rnacentral:rRNA from 1 species